rnacentral:rRNA from 1 species
GACGAACCGUGCGAACGUUGUUCGGAAUCACUGGGCUUAAAGGGCGCGUAGGCGGGCGGUCAAGUCAGAGGUGAAAUCCCACGGCUCAACCGUGGAAGUGCCCCCUGAUACUGACUGUCUCGAGGGAGGUAGGGGCGUGCGGAACUUCCGGUGGAGCGGUGAAAUGCGUAGAUAUCGGAAGGAACACCGAUGGCGAAAGCAGCGCGCUGGACCUCUACUGACGCUGAGGCGCGAAAGCCAGGGGAGCAAACGGG